AAACCGGAGGAAGGUGGGGAUGACGUCAAGUCAUCAUGGCCCUUACGGCCAGGGCUACACACGUGCUACAAUGGUCGGUACAAAGGGUUGCCGAAGCCGCGAGGCGGAGCUAAUCCCAUAAACCGAUCGUAGUCCGGAUCGCAGUCUGCAACUCGACUGCGUGAAGUCGGAAUCGCUAGUAAUCGUGAAUCAGAAUGUCACGGUGAAUACGGUUCCCGGGUCCUU
rnacentral:rRNA from 1 species